GGCCCCGUAGUUCAAAGGAAGAGCACCGUGCUUCGAACGCGGAGAUGGUCGUUCGAGUCGACCCGGGGCCG
rnacentral:tRNA from 1 species